GACGAACGCUGGCGGCGUGCUUAACACAUGCAAGUCGAACGGAAAGGCCCUGCUUUUGUGAGGUGCUCGAGUGGCGAACGGGUGAGUAACACGUGAGUAACCUGCCCUUGACUUUGGGAUAACUUCAGGAAACUGGGGCUAAUACCGGAUAGGAGCUCCUGCUGCAUGGUGGGGGUUGGAAAGUUUCGGCGGUUGGGGAUGGACUCGCGGCUUAUCAGCUUGUUGGUGGGGUAGUGGCUUACCAAGGCUUUGACGGGUAGCCGGCCUGAGAGGGUGACCGGCCACAUGGGGACUGAGAUACGGCCCAGACUCCUACGGGAGGCAGCAGUGGGGAAUAUUGCACAAUGGGCGGAAGCCUGAUGCAGCAACGCCGCGUGCGGGAUGACGGCCUUCGGGUUGUAAACCGCUUUCGCCUGUGACGAAGCGUGAGUGACGGUAAUGGGUAAAGAAGCACCGGCUAACUACGUG
rnacentral:rRNA from 1 species